CCUACGGGGGGCAGCAGUGAGGAAUAUUGGUCAAUGGACGAGAGUCUGAACCAGCCAAGUAGCGUGAAGGAUGACUGCCCUAUGGGUUGUAAACUUCUUUUAUAUGGGAAUAAAAUGUUCCACGUGUGGGAUUUUGUAUGUACCAUAUGAAUAAGGAUCGGCUAACUCCGUGCCAGCAGCCGCGGUAAUACGGAGGAUCCGAGCGUUAUCCGGAUUUAUUGGGUUUAAAGGGAGCGUAGGUGGAUUGUUAAGUCAGUUGUGAAAGUUUGCGGCUCAACAGUAAAAUUGCAGUUGAAACUGGCAGUCUUGAGUACAGUAGAGGUGGGCGGAAUUCGUGGUGUAGCGGUGAAAUGCUUAGAUAUCACGAAGAACUCCGAUUGCGAAGGCAGUUCACUGGACUGCAACUGACACUGAGGCUCGAAAGUGUGGGUAUCAAACAGGAUUAGAUACCCGGGUAGUC
rnacentral:rRNA from 1 species